AAAUUUAAAAAAAGAAAGGCGCAUAAAGUGUAAUUUCCCGUCGAGAGAAACCAGCAAGCAUUAGCAAACAGCAAAAUCAAGAAACAAAUGGAGAAACCAGAAAAAAACAAGAGGAAGAAGCGGAAGAAAAUACCAGAAUCUCCAUCUUUUUCUGUUGCCCUCGUCAAUGCUGACACAAUUUUCCCUCUCUUACUAGCAACUCUUUGCAACAGCCAACCACCGCCCACCUCUCAAUCUCUAACCAAAAAAUGCCUAAACAAAUUGAAAAUGAACGACCCACUUCCCAAUUCAAUCCUCUCUUUACUCCCUACACUUCUCACUUCAAGGUACCCGGAUAUUGCGUGUCGAAGCGCGGAGGUUUUGGGGGCGGCUUCACUGUUAUCAGUAGAGAUGAAUGAAAGAAUUGCUUUGGAUUGUGUUAUUGUGAAGGCUUUACUAUUUUGUUUAGGGAGUUGUAAGAAGAAUGUUUCGGUGUCUGCUUGUAAUGCUCUUUUGGAUUUGUCUACUACUUCCAUUGGAAGGUGUCGGUUGUUCGAGUUCUCGGCUCUUGAGAGGGUUAUUAUUUGUUUUCUUCAGGUUCCCAAGUCUUCAAUAUUGAUUUCUUUAUGCACUGAUGGCAGAAAAAAUGUCGCUAAUAUCAGGAUAGUAUUUAAGGAAGACAGGCACAUGGUGUCUUUAUUAAGUGCUGCAAUAUCUCUAAUCAACACCUGCAACUUGGAGCAACUGAGUAAUAUCCCAAGGAGUCUGUGUGCAAGUUUCUUGGAAUUUUUGAAAAAUCUGUGGAAAGAAGUACGCACUCAAAUGUUACAUGGCAAUAUUUUGAUUUCCAUUUCAGAGACAAGCUUAUGUACAAGCAAUUUUACAGUUAACAAUUUGGCAGAAAGCAUUUUUCGGCUUUCUACGAAUACUGAUCAAUUUGCUCCUCUUCCGUCUGUUUUGGUCGAGAGUAGAAUUUUUGGUUCGAGUAAGUGUAGUUUUGAAACUUUCAUGUUAUGCCACUGGGAGGCAUCACCAUUUCUUGUGAGAAGGUCCCCAACAUCAUUAGUCGAGGUGAAUGAAAUUUUCAGUCCUUUUACAGAAUCAUUGACUCAUACUCAAUCACCUUACACAUUUUUUUCUCCCAUGCUUCAAAAUUUCAUUUCUUGCCUACCUAUUGCUUCAGAUGAAUUAGACAUAUUAAAUUUCCUAGAGGAGGUGAGAAAUGAAUUGGGUUGCCCUGUAGUUUACCAUCAGGACAUACGCGUACUAAGAACAGAUAAACAAUCAAAAAAGGAGGUACACUUCUUUCCUAAAAAUUCAGAGACAUGUCAAAGUAAAAAUCCCCAUGGUCUCACUCAUUCUGAUAUUUUGAAAUGUGAAGAAGCAUUCAAGCAAGGUUAUACAAUUGCUUUGCGUGGCAUGGAGUUUCGCUUUGCGAGUAUUGCGGCUUUAGCAGACACUUUAGCAUGUUUGUUUGGUCAACCAUCAGUGGGUGCUAAUCUAUAUAUCACACCACCUAAUUCUCAAGGGUUGGCUUGCCACUAUGAUGACCACUGUGUUUUUGUGUGCCAGCUCUUUGGAAAUAAGCAAUGGAGAGUUUUUUCUGAAUCAAAGUUGCAGCUACCUCGCUUGUAUGAUCCUAUUGAAAAUCAGGCUAAUUUUGAUUCUGAGAGUUCGUUGGCUGAUCACACAAAGUAUCAUCUGAGAGAAGGUGAUGUUUUGUAUAUUCCAAGAGGCUUUGCUCACGAGGCAUGUACAGAUGAUAUGAAGUCCAGUGAACUGGCCAAGUUCUCAUUGCACAUUACAUUUGGAAUUGAGGUCGAACCUCCCUUUGAAUGGACAGGAUUUGCGCAUGUGGCCCUUCACCAUUGGAACCAGACCAGAAAACAGUCCCCUCAUGCCAUGGUUGAGCCAUUUUCUGGAAGUUUGAAUGCCAUUAUUUUGUAUCUGUUAGAUACUUUGAUUGAGCUAAUUGGUGCUUCUGAUCCUACCUUCCGGAAGGCUUGCUUGGUUUGUGCACUUUCUUCCUCAUCGGACAGGAAGGACUGGCUUUUUUCUAAACAGAAAACCACUUUCCACUAUUUGAUAGAUAAAAUUAAUACGGAGUCAAGAUUUUCUGAAGUUCUCAGUAUCAUGGAGAUGGCUAUUGAAAAGAAAGAUCUCCGUCAGCGCAUGAGCUGGAUUCAGCUUCUUAACAAGCAGAAUGAAGCAACCGGAGAACAUGAUUUAUAUACAACUUCUGUUGAAGUUGAAAAAUUGUUGCCAGUAUUUGUUCAACAACAAGACAGGGUAAAAGCUGCAUUUAUGCAAAUGAAAACUAAGUUCUGUGCAGAGGUGUUAUUUGACGAUGUGAUAGGUAGCUAUAUAAUGCUAUUUGAGAAGUAUAAGAAAGCGAGAAAGCAAUAUCUCAACGGAAUGCUCUCUCUGCAUUGUUGUUAGUUUCACUCUUAUUUCUGACAAGCAGAUAACCUGCUCGAGGAAUCCAUUUUCUGUCUCUCAUUGUGAAAAUCCGAUGUGCGGUGUGUGCAUUUGUUCGAGCUGCGUUGCAGGGCGACAAGAAAGAGAUUCUAUGGUCUCGGAUGUUUUGGAGUCGGCACUGGAUGAGUAGUCACACCAUUGUAGUCAAUGUGGUAAAGAAGCUCUAAAUCAUUUCUGCUCUCAUGCUUUUGUUCUCUGAAAUGCUCUUCGAAUAUUACUCGCUUUUUGUUGUCAUCCAGAACCUGCAACUCAUAUAUUCAAACUCAGGUCCUAGGAAUAUAAAAUCUAAAUAAUGAAAUAUAAGUACUGUUGUGCAAAAACCGAAGCAAACCAAAUAAUCGAACUAAUCGAUAAAUUUAGUUCGGUUUGGUUGACAUUAUAAAAAAACCUCAGUUCUGUUUGUUAAAAAUAUAACCGAACUGAACAAAAUGUAAGUGUCUCCGCCGCGGAUUCAGAUUAAGGAUUUAUCAGCAAACAAAACUAAAUCAUACCUGUUCUUGGUGGUGUUCAUUGCAACGGUCGAGUUGUGGCACCAUCCUCUGUUCUCUCAAGGAUCUCCUUCCCGUAAGAAAGGUGACGGACGGAGAUGAAACGGAUAAUAUGUAAUGGGAACAGAAAUACAAAGAAGAAGUGAGAAUACAUAAGAUAAGAAGCAAAAAAUUCAUUGUAUUAACAGGUUUGAUAUCCUUAGGAAAUAGGAGGCUAUGAAUGUGAGCAGAAAUGCAUAAAUAGAAGUGAGAGAGUCAAUUAUUGGUUAAGGGGUUGGAGAAACAGUGCAGAACCCAUCUCUAUAAUUAUGUUUGCUUGUGAGAUUUGACCGAGACAUACUAUGGCAUGUCCAGAUCUUGUCAUUUUAUUGCUAUUUUUAGUGACACUCUUUUUAUUAUUUGAAAAUUCAUCUCUCAACUUUUUAGAAAUUUUGGCUUUUAGAUUCA